GCUGUUUCGAGAAAAAUUAAUUUGGCUGGUUCUGAGGAAAUUGAAUAACAAAUAGUAAUAAUAGACUCCAAUUUGUUAAUUGUCCCAUCGACAUCAGGUUCAUCUUGAGUUAUUUUGUUCUUCCAGUGACAAUUUAUUGCACAGGGAAUAUAUUUUAAAGAGAUACCUGCGUCCAAUAAAGCAAGUACCGCACCAUUGAUUACGGCAGCCAAUGUAUCUGUGCCAUCUUCCUCUAUUAUCUGAAUUGACACUUGUAUAAGUGUUCUUGGAUAUGUGUUUAGAAAUAUUGCAUCUUCUAGGAUACCAACAAUUCUGCUAGAAAUCAUCUUUUCCAAAGUCUCAGCGACACCACUCACAGGUUGAACCAAAACUUCAACGGUGGCCUUGUUAAGCCUUUCGUCCCUGAUUUUUACAUCAAUAGGACCAUUGACACCACAAAUAACCCUAGCAGAACCUACAAUGAUGUUAGCAUAAAGAAAAUUCAUUUUUUUUUAAUUGGCAUUUGCUUGGCUAAUAUACCGUGGAUAAUAGCAUUACCUUGUUUCCAUUCGCUCGAGCCAUCAGACCUUGAGAGGAUACCUAUACGGUUCAUUUCAGCUUCUAUAAUGCAACAAAGUUGCUUGCUUGCAGAGACAGAAGAAACGUUUCUACUUCCUUUGCACAAGUAGGAAAUAAGCUAGCUUACACCUCGUUAUUCGAAAACAGAAUGAGAGCAGAAAAAAAUGUAUCAAUAGUUUGGUGACAAUGGGAGUUGUAUUAAUAAGGGUUUGUAAUUAAAUUCUUCCAAUUUUUACUUUACUAAAGCUGAAUGAUAGGAGAAACUGGAAUGAUCUGUAACAGCCCAACCACUAAAAAAUUAGAAAUUACUCAUAGCCAUCUUUCAAAAUAUUUUUUUAAAAAUAAUACAUCAUGAUAUAUAAUCUCAUUAUAAAGGAAUCACCUUUGUAUUAAGGAGAAUGAAUCCAGGAUUGUUUUUUCAUUUCUGAAAGUCUACUCAAGCAACGCGUGAAGGUAAAUACCUCUUCAAUCCCACCAAAUGCUCCAUGAUAGUGAGAUUCAAUUUUCCCCUUGGCAGCAGGAUCAGCCGUAGAGGAAAGUACUUCAGAAGGUGCUGUCGGAUAUAUUUCUUGAACUGGAACUUCAGAUGAUAAGAUGAGUUUUCCAUGGGUGUCAUAAAGGGCAUCAAUAAAUGUAAUGAACCUAUGGAUAAGGUCUUUCGACUCGAUACUCAAUUUGGGAAUGUCUGAAACGAUGAAAACAUGGUAACGGCUUGCCAAUGAAAGAUAGUCGGCAGCGCUUUUCGGUUCUCCACAUAAUUGUUCAAAGGUGAACCAUGCAACGUUGCCACUUGCUUUUGGAACGAUUAUCUUUCUCCCAAAUACUUCAACUUCGUCUUGGUGAGCAGGAUCUUUCUCAUCAGCGUAGCAAAGAAACCAAUUUUCCAAGGCUUUCUUAACUUCUGGGCUAUUAGCAGGAUAAAGAUAUGUAUCUUCUGUUUUAGAUUUUAGGCGUCGGUAAUCGUUUGGACUGUCCAAACAAAUUACUUGAAGACGAUGUUCCAAAAGUUUAAUGCAAGGAAUGAAGCUCUCUCUUUGUAUUCCAUUUUUAUACAAAUCAGAAGGAGCCCUAUUAGAAGUAAUAAAGAUAACAACACCAUACUUCAUAAGGGCCUCAAAGAGUCUGCGUAGUAAAAGAGCGUCCGCGACAUCGGUUACCUGUAAUUCGUCAAAACAUAGCACUGUUGUUUCUUUUGCUAUUCCGGAUGCAAUAUGAUCUAUAAAAUCAAUCUCAAACCCAUAACGAUCUUGCAAAUCAUGUGAAGUGCGAUGAACUUGCAUCAUAAAUGCAUGGAAAUGAAUGCGCUGAGAACGAGUAACAUUGGGUGGUAAGUUGUGAUAAAAUAGAUCCAUCAAAGCGGUUUUACCACAGCCCACAUCACCAUAUAGAUAUAUACCUUUAGGCAUACCCGGUACAGGUAAAGAAGAAGUUAGAGUGGGAGACUUCUUCCUAGAAAACAUUUUCUUUAAGGGGGAUAUCCAAGAUAGGAUUGAUCCCUUUUCAGCUGGCAUACUAUCUUGCGUUAUUGGAGGUUGUGUAUACGAUUCCAAUUCGGUAUACAAACGGUUGAUUGCUUUAACCGCUGUUUCUUGAUACGGGUCACGUUUCCAUACGCCGUCAUUAACUUUCUUGUUGUAUACUUCAAUAGGUGUAUUAUGAAAUGUGGUAAAGCGAACUACCCUGCAAACUCCAAUGCUUCCUAUAGUAUCAACAAAAGCAAAACAAGGAGCUGAAACACGAAGCACUUGCAGCAUGAUGAUAUGACCAAAUUAAAUACAAACUUUUGAACAAAAAUAAUGUUUCGUAAGCUAACUAAAGUAAAGAAAAAAAGUG
rnacentral:lncRNA from 1 species